AGAGUUUGAUCAUGGCUCAGAAUCAACGCUGGCGGCGUGCCCAAUACAUGCAAGUCGAACGCGAAAGCUCCGCAAGGGGUAAGUAGAGUGGCAAACGGGUGAGUAACGCGUGGGCGACCUACCUUCGAGUGGGGGAUAACCUUCCGAAAGGAGGGCUAAUACCGCAUGACAUCCCGUGUUUGGAUACACGGACAUCAAAGUCGGGGAUCGCAAGACCUGACGCUUGGAGAGGGGCCUGCGUCCGAUUAGCUAGUUGGUGGGGUAAUGGCCCACCAAGGCUUCGAUCGGUAUCCGGCCUGAGAGGGCGGACGGACACACUGGGACUGAGACACGGCCCAGACUCCUACGGGAGGCAGCAGUAGGGAAUUGUUCGCAAUGGGCGCAAGCCUGACGACGCAACGCCGCGUGGAGGAUGAAGACCUUCGGGUCGUAAACUCCUUUCGACCGAGAUGAAUACUCACCGACCCAACACGUCGGUGAGCUGACAGUAUCGAGGGAAGAAGCCCCGGCUAACUCCGUGCCAGCAGCCGCGGUAAUACGGGGGGGGCAAGCGUUGUUCGGAAUUACUGGGCGUAAAGGGUUCGUAGGUGGCCUGCUAAGUCACACGUGAAAUCCCUCAGCUUAACUGGGGAACUGCGUGUGAGACUGGCGGGCUUGAGUGCAGGAGAGGAACGCGGAAUUCCAGGUGUAGCGGUGAAAU
rnacentral:rRNA from 1 species